GACGAACGCUGGCGGCGUGCUUAACACAUGCAAGUCGAGCGGAAAGGCCCUUUCGGGGGUACUCGAGCGGCGAACGGGUGAGUAACACGUGAGUAAUCUGCCUCUGGCUUUGGGAUAGCUUCGGGAAACCGAAAUUAAUACCGGAUAUGACACGGUUUCGCAUGAGAUCCGUGUGGAAAGUUUUUCGGCCAGGGAUGUGCUCGCGGCCUAUCAGCUUGUUGGUGGGGUAAUGGCCUACCAAGGCUUCGACGGGUAGCCGGCCUGAGAGGGUGACCGGCCACACUGGGACUGAGACACGGCCCAGACUCCUACGGGAGGCAGCAGUGGGGAAUAUUGGACAAUGGGCGGAAGCCUAAUCCAGCAACGCCGCGUGAGGGAUGACGGCCUUCGGGUUGUAAACCUCUUUCACCACCGACGAAGCGCAAGUGACGGUAGGUGGGGAAGAAGUACCGGCCAACUACGUGCCAGCCGCCGCCGUAACAC
rnacentral:rRNA from 1 species